rnacentral:lncRNA from 1 species
GAAAUUUCAUCCCCAACUUCCGAGAAGGAGCUUUUCCUUGCUGUAUAGUAAUUUACCUCAUGACCACUCAAGAGAUAUAAAAAUAUUACAAUUUUUUUACUUCGUUUUCUUGCCCCCAUCAUCUUCUUCGUAACAACCCUGGAACCCACGCAUACGAGAAAACCAAAACUUCAACAAUGAUUCAUGUCUAUUCUUUCUUG